rnacentral:misc_RNA from 1 species
UCACGCUCCUCUGCUGUAUAUGCUCCUUGAUCACUCUCAAUAAUUACCAAAAGUUUCUUCUUAGGUUGAACCACAAACUUUCUUGGAGUGUACCUCAGAGGUAUUGCAGUUUCAUUAAAUGUCUCUCCCAACCUUUCAAUGGUAAAAAUCCUCAAUGCAUCNCAGCCACCACACCUUCUGCACACUGAUCAGAUGAGAAUGAAGCAGCAAAUUCAAGAGUCU